GUGCUCACUUUGGCAGCACAUCUAUUAAAACUGGGACAAUACAGAGACGACUAGUGUGGCCCCUGUGCCAGGAAGACACAAAUUCAUAAAGCUGAAGUUU
ensembl:snRNA U6 U6 spliceosomal RNA